GUGGGGAAUCUUCCGCAAUGGACGAAAGUCUGACGGAGCAACGCCGCGUGAGUGAUGACGGCCUUAGGGUUGUAAAGCUCUGUGAUCGGGGACGAAUGGCUGGUAUGCUAAUACCAUAUCAGAGUGACGGUACCCGAAUAGCAAGCCACGGCUAACUACGUGCCAGCAGCCGCGGUAAUACGUAGGUGGCAAGCGUUGUCCGGAAUUAUUGGGCGUAAAGCGCGCGCAGGCGGCUUCUUAAGUCCAUCUUAAAAGUGCGGGGCUUAACCCCGUGAUGGGAUGGAAACUGGGAGGCUGGAGUAUCGGAGAGGAAAGUGGAAUUCCUAGUGUAGCGGUGAAAUGCGUAGAGAUUAGGAAGAACACCGGUGGCGAAGGCGACUUUCUGGACGACAACUGACGCUGAGGCGCGAAAGCGUGGGGAGCAAACAGGAUUAGAAACCCGAGUAGUCC
rnacentral:rRNA from 1 species